rnacentral:rRNA from 1 species
UUGAACGCUGGCGGCAGGCCUAACACAUGCAAGUCGAGCGGAUGAAGGGAGCUUGCUCCUGGAUUCAGCGGCGGACGGGUGAGUAAUGCCUAGGAAUCUGCCUGGUAGUGGGGGAUAACGUCCGGAAACGGGCGCUAAUACCGCAUACGUCCUGAGGGAGAAAGUGGGGGAUCUUCGGACCUCACGCUAUCAGAUGAGCCUAGGUCGGAUUAGCUAGUUGGUGGGGUAAAGGCCUACCAAGGCGACGAUCCGUAACUGGUCUGAGAGGAUGAUCAGUCACACUGGAACUGAGACACGGCCCAGACUCCUACGGGAGGCAGCAGUGGGGAAUAUUGGACAAUGGGCGAAAGCCUGAUCCAGCCAUGCCGCGUGUGUGAAGAAGGUCUUCGGAUUGUAAAGCACUUUAAGUUGGGAGGAAGGGCAGUAAGUUAAUACCUUGCUGUUUUGACGUUACCAACAGAAUAAGCACCGGCUAACUUCGUG